AUUGAACGCUGGCGGCAGGCCUAACACAUGCAAGUCGAGCGGAUGAAGGGAGCUUGCUCCUGGAUUCAGCGGCGGACGGGUGAGUAAUGCCUAGGAAUCUGCCUGGUAGUGGGGGAUAACGUCCGGAAACGGGCGCUAAUACCGCAUACGUCCUGAGGGAGAAAGUGGGGGAUCUUCGGACCUCACGCUAUCAGAUGAGCCUAGGUCGGAUUAGCUAGUUGGUGGGGUAAAGGCCUACCAAGGCGACGAUCCGUAACUGGUCUGAGAGGAUGAUCAGUCACCCUGGAACUGAGACACGGUCCAGACUCCUACGGGAGGCAGCAGUGGGGAAUAUUGGACAAUGGGCGAAAGCCUGAUCCAGCCAUGCCGCGUGUGUGAAGAAGGUCUUCGGAUUGUAAAGCACUUUAGGUUGGAAGGAAGGGCAGUAAGUUAAUACCUUGCUGUUUUGACGUUACCAACAGAAUAAGCACCGGCUAACUUCGUG
rnacentral:rRNA from 1 species